CCUACGGGAGGCAGCAGUGAGGAAUAUUGGUCAAUGGACGGAAGUCUGAACCAGCCAUGCCGCGUGCAGGAAGACGGCUCUAUGAGUUGUAAACUGCUUUUGUACAAAGGUAAACCUGAAUACGUGUAUUCAGCUGAAAGUACUGUACGAAUAAGGAUCGGCUAACUCCGUGCCAGCAGCCGCGGUAAUACGGAGGAUCCAAGCGUUAUCCGGAUUUAUUGGGUUUAAAGGGUGCGUAGGCGGAUUGAUAAGUUAGAGGUGAAAUGUCCGAGCUUAACUCGGGAACUGCCUCUACUACUGUUGAUCUAGAGAGUAGAUGCGGUAGGCGGAAUGUAUGGUGUAGCGGUGAAAUGCUUAGAGAUCAUACAGAACACCGAUUGCGAAGGCAGCUUACCAAUCUAUAUCUGACGUUGAGGCACGAAAGCGUGGGGAGUAAACAGGAUUAAAUACCCUAGUAGUC
rnacentral:rRNA from 1 species